UCCCUGACUGUCCAGUGGUUAAGACUCUGUGCUUUUACUGCUGAGGGUCCAGGUUCAAUCCCUGGUUGGGGAA
rfam:Ovis aries breed Texel chromosome 3, whole genome shotgun sequence.